rnacentral:lncRNA from 1 species
GUAGGCUAUUGGGUUGCCACUCUUCCCAUCAGAUUACUUCUUUCUUCGCUACCAAUUAGCACAGUGGCUGCAUCAUGGAGGCUCAUGGUCUGGUCCAGGUCUCACAGCUAAUAUGAGGCAAAGAAAGAAGUCUAACCCGGAGUAUCAGCACCUACAGUGAAGCAGAUGAGGAGCAAAGAGGAAGUCUUGAGAGGAUUUCAAGCUGGUUAAAAUGACCAGAGCAGAGAGCUACUGCUCCAAGGCUAUGCCUCCAUGCUUCCUGCCAUGAUGAUCAUAGAUUAACUUUCUGAAACUGAGAGACUCUGGCUUUCGGCACUUUCUAAAGGAAAGAAGAUGAAGGCUGUUUUAGAAAAAAACCUUAAUAAAGUCUGUAAGAUUUGGGCA